UACGUAGGGUGCAAGCGUUGUCCGGAAUUAUUGGGCGUAAAGAGCUCGUAGGCGGUUUGUCGCGUCUGCUGUGAAAACGCGAGGCUCAACCUCGCGCCUGCAGUGGGUACGGGCAAACUAGAGUGCGGUAGGGGAGAUUGGAAUUCCUGGUGUAGCGGUGGAAUGCGCAGAUAUCAGGAGGAACACCGAUGGCGAAGGCAGAUCUCUGGGCCGUAACUGACGCUGAGGAGCGAAAGCGUGGGGAGCGAACGGG
rnacentral:rRNA from 1 species